AUUGAACGCUGGCGGCAGGCCUAACACAUGCAAGUCGAGCGGAGCGGCGGACGGGUGAGUAAUGCCUAGGUAUCUGCCUGGUCGUGGGGGAUAACGUCCGGAAACGGGCGCUAAUAUCGCAUACUAUCAGAUUAGCCUAGGUCGGAUUAGCUAGUUGGUGGGGUAAAGGCCUACCAAGGCGACGAUCCGUAACUGGUCUGAGAGGAUGAUCAGUCAAAAUGGAACUGAGACACGGUCCAGAAUCCUACGGGAGGCAGCAGUGGGGAAUAUUGGACAAUGGGCGAAAGCCUGAUCCAGCCAUGCCGCGUGUAUGAAGAAGGUCUUCGGAUUGUAAAGCACUUUAAGUUGGGAGGCGUUACCAGCAGAAUAAGCACCGGCUAACUUCGUGCCAGCAGCCGCGGUAAUAC
rnacentral:rRNA from 1 species